rnacentral:rRNA from 1 species
AUGCAUCAUCUUUCGAUGAGCAAUCUCCCCCCAUUACUAUGUCUCCUUCUAUUGGAAACGCACUGCCUCAAGCUCAACCUAGCUUCUGCGCUUGCCCGCUUCCACCUAUUGAUCACUAUGGGUGUUCUGGCGCUGCUCUUCUCAAUACCACUUACUGUGACACGAUGUUCACCCAAACGGCGACAUGCGAUGGCAAAGGAGAUUGCUGCUCUUGAACGCACUGACACAUGGGAUCUCAUUUCCCUUCCUCCUCAUGCUCAACCCAUCACUUGUAUAUUGUACAUUGGUCUACAAGAUUUAGACUAUGAUGGUUCCCUUGCCUUACAAAGCUCGUCUUGUGACUUAUAG